GUGGGGAAUAUUGCACAAUGGGGGAAACCCUGAUGCAGCAACGCCGCGUGAGUGAUGACGGCCUUCGGGUUGUAAAGCUCUGUCUUCAGGGACGAUAAUGACGGUACCUGAGGAGGAAGCCACGGCUAACUACGUGCCAGCAGCCGCGGUAAUACGUAGGUGGCAAGCGUUGUCCGGAUUUACUGGGCGUAAAGGGAGCGUAGGCGGACUUUUAAGUGAGAUGUGAAAUACCCGGGCUUAACCUGGGUGCUGCAUUCCAAACUGGGAGUCUAGAGUGCAGGAGGGGAAAGUGGAAUUCCUAGUGUAGCGGUGAAAUGCGUAGAGAUUAGGAAGAACACCGGUGGCGAAGGCGACUUUCUGGACUGUAACUGACGCUGAGGCUCGAAAGCGUGGGGAGCGAACAGGAUUAGAAACCCCGGUAGUCC
rnacentral:rRNA from 1 species